rnacentral:rRNA from 1 species
UUAGUACGGCGAGUGAACCGGGAUGAGCUCAAAUUUAAAAUCUGGCGUCUUUCAGGCGUCCGAGUUGUAAUCUAUAGAGGCGUUUUCCGCGCCGGACCGCGUCCAAGUCUCUUGGAAUAGAGUAUCAAAGAGGGUGACAAUCCCGUACUUGACGCGACAACCGGUGCUCUGUGAUACGUUCUCAAUGAGUCGAGUUGUUUGGGAAUGCAGCUCUAAAUGGGUGGUAAAUUCCAUCUAAGGCUAAAUAUUGGCGAGAGACCGAUAGCGAACAAGUACCGUGAGGGAAAGAUGAAAAGCACUUUGGAAAGAGAGUUAAACAGCACGUGAAAUUGUUAAAAGGGAAACGAUUGAAGUCAGUCGUGUGAAAGGUAUUCAGCCGUCUCUGGCGGUGUAUUUGCCUUUCACGGGUCAACAUCAGUUUGAUCCGGUAGAAAAAGGCAGGAGGAAGGUGGCACCCUCGGGUGUGUUAUAGCCUCUUGUCAUAUGUGCCGGACCAGACUGAGGAACGCAGCUUGCCGCAAGGCCGGGGUUCGCCCACGUACAAGCUUAGGAUGUUGACAUAAUGGCUUUAAACGACCCGUCUUGAAACACGGACCAAAAAA